rnacentral:rRNA from 1 species
CGCGGUGGUCCCACCUGACCCCAUGCCGAACUCAGAAGUGAAACGCCGUAGCGCCGAUGGUAGUGUGGGGCUUCCCCAUGCGAGAGUAGGGAACUGCCAGGCA